CUUGACUGAUCUCUAGGCUAUCUCUGCCCCCCCAUAUGCCUCACUUCCCUGAUCUCUAGGCUAUCUCUGCCCUCACUUACCUCAUCUGUAGCCUGCAUGUGUUUCUCCCCUGCGGUUUCACUCAGCAGAGAGAAGCAGGGAUAAGAUGCAGCUUCCUAUCCCUGUCUCUCUCCAUACACAGCGCCACCUACUGGCCGGCACCAUUGCACUGUAUUUUCAAUCUCACAUGAAAAUUAGCAGAACAAGC